GAUGAACGCUGGCGGCGUGCUUAACACAUGCAAGUCGAACGGAAAGGCUCCUGCUUGCAGGGGUACUCGAGUGGCGAACGGGUGAGUAACACGUGGGUGAUCUGCCCUGCACUUCGGGAUAAGCCUGGGAAACUGGGUCUAAUACCGGAUAGGACGAUGGUUUGGAUGCCAUUGUGGAAAGUUUUUUCGGUGUGGGAUGAGCUCGCGGCCUAUCAGCUUGUUGGUGGGGUAAUGGCCUGCCAAGGCGUCGACGGGUAGCCGGCCUGAGAGGGUGUACGGCCACAUUGGGACUGAGAUACGGCCCAGACUCCUACGGGAGGCAGCAGUGGGGAAUAUUGCACAAUGGGCGCAAGCCUGAUGCAGCGACGCCGCGUGGGGGAUGACGGCCUUCGGGUUGUAAACUCCUUUCGCUAGGGACGAAGCGCAAGUGACGGUACCUGGAGAAGAAGAACCGGCUAACUACGUG
rnacentral:rRNA from 1 species